GAUGAACGCUAGCGGCAGGCCUAAUACAUGCAAGUCGAACGGUGUCUUCGGACAUAGUGGCGCACGGGUGCGUAACACGUAUGCAACCUACCUUACAUUGGGGGACAGCCUUUCGAAAGGGAGAUUAAUACCGCAUAAGACAGUAGCUGGGCAUCCAGCAGCUGUUAAAGAUUUAUCGAUGUAAGCUGGGCAUGCGUCCAAUUAGCUAGUUGGUGAGGUAACGGCUCACCAAGGCAAUGAUUGGUAGGGGAACUGAGAGGUCAAUCCCCCACACUGGCACUGAGAUACGGGCCAGACUCCUACGGGAGGCAGCAGUAGGGAAUAUUGGGCAAUGGACGCAAGUCUGACCCAGCCAUGCCGCAUGCAGGAUGAAGGCGUUAUGCGUUGUAAACUGCUUUUAUACAGGAAGAAACGACUCUUGCGAGAGGCAUUGACGGUACUGUAUGAAUAAGCACCGGCUAACUCCGUGCCAGCAGCCGCCGUAAGAC
rnacentral:rRNA from 1 species